CACAAUAACCUGGGGCCGGAAGGCGGUGGCUCCGUUUCUGGCCUGCACGGCACCCAGCGGAGAAAGCGGCCUUUGCUGGAAACGGGGAUACCGGUUCUUGGGGGUGCUGGUGGACGAGAAGCUGGACGUGAGCAGGCAGUGUGCAGUUGCAGCCCAGAAGGCCAGUCCCAUCCUGGGCUGCAUCAAAAGCAAGACUGUGCACACUACCGACCUUCUGCCAGAACUGUGUCCCGGAUAGGACUGUGUGACAAAGCAGGGUCAGAUCCCAUGAGAACUGCUACCGUUUCUCUGGAGUCACCCUUUCUUCUGCUGUGACAGCACAGGAGGGAUGGAGAGGAUCUGGAGUGCUCUGUGAGGUACGAGGUACGUCUCCGACAUGCGUCUGCAUUUUUCCUAAGGUACUUGUGGUAUGAACUUUGAAGUUAACAUGAAGGAUGUGCCAGCUCUCUUAUACCUUUUCUGUGAAAUAUUUUAACACAAAUACUAAAAAUAAGGUCUGUUCUGGAGCAUGAUUACACCUAUGCAAAUCUUACUUCCCUCCAUUUAUUUUCUCUUCCUGAAAGAUAAUCUCUUUUUGCACGCUAUUAGAUGAUACUGUGAAAACACUUUUGUACUAAAAAAGGGGAAAAAACUGUUCAUAAGAGUUCAGGUGUUCACAUGAAGCAGACUUGCUUUCGUGAUAAAAGCUUUAUGCUUUUUCAGUCAAUACGUCUUUAAAAUACCUUGCAGUAGUACUCAAAAAAUUAAUGGAGAUACUGGCAUCUGUACUGAAAUCAAUUGAGAUCAAAGAAGAGACAUGGACGAAACAGGACGAAUCAGUGUCGCUUCUGUGUGUUUAUCAGGCUUUCCAAUGAAGCAUCAGCAGCCUCAUAACUAGUGACAGUGAGUCCUGAUACGAUUUUGUGAGUUGUUGCUUCAAUAAUGUCCUUUUUCUGUAACCUACAGUAUGUAAUUUUUACUUCAGUUGGAAAGAGAUUUUUCUGAAAUGGGAAUGUUUCUCAUUCAAAGCAGUUGCGUCUUACAAAGUUCCCAUCAGAGCAGAUCUUCAGAGAUGAUGUACUUGACAGUAGAAGUCAUCAGCAACAAGAGUUUGCACUCUCUUAAUAAGACAAAAAAAAUAGCCCCAAGCACAGCACAUCUUCCAAAAGUUGAUGGCAUUGCUGGUCUUUGGGUUCUCAGUUUAACAGCCGAGAUAUCGUAAAAAUGUGUUCCUCUGCGUGUUCAGCACAGCCAAAAGUAUUCAACAAUCUGCCAGUCCUUUUUGAUAGCCUGAUGGACUGCAUCACUGGGAGUUUGAUUCCCCUCCCCAAAAGUAAAACCAUUUUGGGGAUCUCUUACCUAAUCCCUUAUUGGGAAUUUUUCUAUGUGAAACAAAACUUGUAUAAUUUACAAACUGACAUGCAUGGUUUAAACUGCAACUGCCAGUAUAGCUGUUGCAUACAAUUUAUUAAGUGUACUUAAGCAGUUAGAUAUUUGUUCUAAAUCUUUAAGAGAGGUGACAAUAUAUCGGAUUUUUUUUCCCUGAUAGUUAGACAGAGUGCUUUGAAGUACUUUAUUUCUGUCUUGCUUUCAGCGACGUUUCCCCAUCGGUCUGGAAGCAUCUCCCUUGGGCAGUGCAACUGGUCCAAUGUCCCUCCUCAAACGGUUAGCACACAGAAAAGGCCGUAGUCAAAUUAUGACUGUGUGUUUUGGCGAUAGAUAGUGUAAUGGUAUCAAUUCACAGCUGUGCAAGUUAAAUUAGUGCCAAAGGAAAGUCAAAUACUUUUAGAGUAUAAGUACUUUUAUGGAAUGUAUGUAAACAUAGACGCACCCUUUCAGCAUAAGGUGAAUGACCGAGUGUGGGAAAGUAAUGGAAGAUUGGUGAGGAGGACUGUAAACAAGCUGAAGUGACUCGCAUGUGGGCUGCUGGAAAAGACACCUAUCACACUAAUGGUUAUGUAGUUUUGUGUGUUCAACAAGUAGAACAUCUGCACCUAGGUAACAUCAGCCUGGGAUAGACUCAGGGGCACCUUAUUGAACAUGCUUGAGAUUCCUGCCCGGCUGUUGAAGCGAUCGAAGCGCAGCCAGAAACUGCCUGCCGGAAUCCUUGAAAUACAGGCCAGAACAGCAACUGGGAGCUCUCUCCCUCUCUCAGUCCCUUGCUAACAAGGACUCUCUUGCUAAUAAGGACUCUUUCUCCACGAUCCGUGCAUCCCCUGCUUGCCUGGCUCUGCCCAGGUGCUGCUUCAGAGAUUCCCCAAUCCGUGAGGUAUCGAGAUUAAAUUUAUUCUUUGCCUUUAAUAUGUGGGUUUGUGGUUGUUGCUGUGUCCUGCCUGCAUCAGCUCACACACUGAGCUUUGUUUUUUAUUAUUCCUUGGACUUUGCAAGGUUUUACCAUUCCCUCUCAGCUGCACCGACCAAGGAGCGAGGUGAGCAGCAGCAGCAGCAAGGGCUGUAGCUGCAGUGGUGUGUUUGUCAGUGUCGACUCUGGUUUUUUUAGUAUGCUGAACUAUAAUUGGGGAUUUUUUUAUUUUCCAGCUGCCUCAUUGUAUGCGUCUCAUGCUGCUCGAUAGAUGCCCCAGACCAGGUUUGCAGCUGGUGGUGGAGCCCCCUGAGGAGAAGGAGCCAGCCCAGGGUCUCGUCCUUAAGUUCAUUUUUUUUUGGUGAAUAAAAAAAAAAGGGGUGGGGGGCUGGGGUGUGUGUCGGGGGAGGGUGAUGACAUCAUUUGGGGCACCCUGAUGUCAUGUGGGGAGCAAUGAUGCAGUGGAAGAACAGGUGAGUGGGGGUUACAUGGGGUUCCCCUCAAAAGAGGUGGGACAGAGCCCCAAAAUGUCUGAAAAUUAGGGAGGACGUGGGGCGUGAGGCAUUGAACUACAGAACAAUCUCUCAUUUUUACAUAUAUUGAAAAAAUAAUAGUCAUUUCUGUAUAUAAAAGGUGUUCAAAAUAAAAACCUAUUUCUCUAAGGA